rnacentral:rRNA from 1 species
AUGGCCGCGAUGGGUGGGGACCAAAGGCAAAUGAUGGAAGAUGCGGCGGAGGACAAGUUCCCGGAGGGGUUACGAGUCCUCGCCGUGGACGACGACCGCGUCUGCCUUAAGGUGCUAGAGAACCUCUUGCGCGGGUGCAAAUACCACACAACGACUGUGAAGGAUGCCACGACGGCGCUGAAGAUUCUCAGGGCGGGGAAGGAGAAGUUCGACCUGGUCAUCACCAACGUGCGCAUGCAGGACAUGGACAGCUUGAAGCUCCUCGAGCGCAUCCGCCUCGAGAUGGAUCUGCCCGUCAUCAUGCUAUCUGAAGGUUGUGAAAAGAAGGCUAUGAUGAAGGGGAUAAAUCAUGGGGCGUGUGACUAUUUGUUGAAGCCAGUGCAUACCAACGAGCUAAAAAAUAUAUGGCAGCAUGUUGAAAGCAGGAGAAAUUCUGAAGCAAUAAGGCACAUCAGCAGGGACGAUGAUGACGACCAGAGAUCACAGCUUGGGACUGCUACCAAGAACAACGAUGGAGCUAAUACUGACGAGAGCAAAGAGAGCACACAUGCAUCCUCUACCCAGAAGAAGCCAAAAGUGGCAUGGACAAUCGAGCUGCGUACAAAGUUUAUGGAAGCUAUCAACCAGAUCGGCCUUUAUAGGGCUACUCCAAAAAAGAUUCUGGAGCUGAUGAAUGUGGAUUACCUCACUAGAAAAAAUGUAUUGAUUCAUCUACAGAAGUAUAAAUUGUACUUGAAAAAAGUCAACUCAAACCCACUUGGUGAUGCAUGUGUAAGAUGGAACUCUUUCAUGAACAUUUGGGAGAGUUUUAUGCAUAACCAUGAGCAUGAAAGGUGGGGUGUGUCCUCAGGUGGCAGCGCCUCCUGGAGUCCGAACCAUUACGGUGCAGCGGUUCACUUAGGUCAGCAUACAAGCACCGAGGGGAGUAUGUCCAUGGGUUCAUUAAUCAGUGGUGGUACAAUGCUGGGGUAUUUGGUACCACAGACGCCCACUAUGGGAAUAUUUUCUGGCUUGAAUGAGCAUAUAGUUCCAUUCAACAUACCUAGCAACCCAAGAUCUAUAGGGAUGUUGAAUGCAAACAUCAAUGUUCCAAUGGCAGCACCUCAGUUUGUUUACAGCGACCCAAUCACUACAGUAGUGGCAGGCUUCAGCGAGAAGAUGGCGCCAUUCAACAUAGCAAGCAAGAUGGGCUCGGUUGGAAUGAUGUUAAAUGGCAAGUAUGCACCUGGUACAGGAAGAAUUUCAGUGGCAGAGACUGAGAUGGUUAACUAUGGAAGAACUAGUUCUGCACUUUCCAACCAUCAGACAUAUGAUUUCGUCCCAUUGACACAUAUGCAUGAUGUCGGUGAUGCAUCUGGUAUUUUCCAUGUGCAAGAAGGAACAGUUGAUCAGCAAGCACCUAGUAGUCAACUGAAUGGCAUCAAUGACUUGUCAUCAGUCGGUAUUAAUGAAGAUUUCAUUGGAGAGGAUGCGGUCAUGGAUGGAUAA